rnacentral:sRNA from 1 species
AGCGAUUACAUACAACGUCACACAUGGUCCGUCACGCCUGACCUGGGUGCCUGAAAGCCGCAUGUUUGCUGGCUUGAGGGUUGGUCGGUGGGGGUCAUGGAGGCCUAAC